rnacentral:rRNA from 1 species
UACGAAGGGGGCUAGCGUUGCUCGGAAUCAGCUGGGCGUAAAGGGUGCGUAGGCGGGUCUUUAAGUCAGAGGUGAAAUCCUGGAGCUCAACUCCAGAACUGCCUUGAUACUGAAGAUCUUGAGUUCGGAAGAGGUGAGUGGAACUGCGAGUGUAGAGGUGAAAUUCGUAGAUAUUCGCAAGAACACCAGUGGCGAAGGCGGCUCACUGGGUCCGA